rnacentral:lncRNA from 1 species
UCCAGAAUGGCUGUGUUUGGGUGAGGUUGGUGGCUUGCACCUGCAUGCAAUGGUAUGACUGUCUAUUGAAAUGUGUAUUCACCCUGGUUUUGCAAUAAGAGCUGCUCCAUAGAGCUUGCAUGCUGGGGCUGGGGAAGGACUGGGCAGGUUAUCACAUCUGGUCCUCUGCAGCUGGAGUCUCCAAUGGAGCAUUCACUCCACACACCACAAAAUGGUUCAAGCCAGCAGCAAACGUAGAGCUUGCAGCAGAAGUCUGAAAGCCAUAACGUGUGUUGUUCUGCUUGGAAGGUGCUGGAGAAACCAAAAGCAUUAUUUGCUGCCUGUGGUCACCUCAAACUGUUAAAUGUGUAACUUAAUAUAUUAUUAUAAGCCUGCAAAAACUUCACUGGUCAGUGAGGUAUAUCAGUGAAUUCUGUGUGUGUUAAUAAUCUUUAGGCUCUUAGCUAAAUCAUAGUCAUGUUUUAUUUAGUAAAUGCUGGGUUGGAGG